rnacentral:rRNA from 1 species
CGCAUGGUAGGAGAGCGUUCCGUAAGCCUGCGAAGGUGCCUUGUAAAGGGUGCUGGAGGUAUCGGAAGUGCGAAUGCUGACAUGAGUAGCGAUAAAGGGGGUGAAAGGCCCCCUCGCCGUAAGCCCAAGGUUUCCUACGCAACGUUCAUCGGCGUAGGGUGAGUCGGCCCCUAAGGCGAGGCAGAAAUGCGUAGCUGAUGGGAAGCAGGUCAAUAUUCCUGCACCGUCGUUAGAUGCGAUGGGGGGACGGAUCGCGGAAGGUUGUCCGGGUGUUGGAAGUCCCGGUCGCUGCAUUGGAGAAGGCGCUUAGGCAAAUCCGGGCGCAGGAUUCAAGGGUGUGGCGCGAGCGCUCUAGGGCGCGAAGCAAUUGGAAGUGGUUCCAAGAAAAGCCUCUAAGCUUCAGUCUAACGAUGACCGUACCGCAAACCGACACAGGUGGGCGAGAUGAGUAUUCUAAGGCGCUUGAGAGAACUCGGGAGAAGGAACUCGGCAAAUUGGUACCGUAACUUCGGGAUAAGGUACGCCCUUGUAGCUUGACCAGCCUGCGCUGGAAGGGUGAAGGGGUUGCAAUAAACUGGUGGCUGCGACUGUUUAAUAAAAACACAGCACUCUGCAAACACGAAAGUGGACGUAUAGGGUGUGACGCCUGCCCGGUGCCGGAAGAUUAAAUGAUGGGGUGCAAGCUCUUGAUUGAAGUCCCGGUAAACGGCGGCCGUAACUAUAACGGUCCUAAGGUAGCGAAAUUCCUUGUCGGGUAAGUUCCGACCUGCACGAAUGGCGUAACGAUGGCCACACUGUCUCCUCCCGAGACUCAGCGAAGUUGAAGUGUUUGUGAUGAUGCAAUCUACCCGCGGCUAGACGGAAAGACCCCAUGAACCUUUACUGUAGCUUUGCAUUGGACUUUGAACCGAUCUGUGUAGGAUAGGUGGGAGGCUAUGAAACCGGAACGCUAGUUUCGGUGGAGCCGUCCUUGAAAUACCACCCUGGUUUGUUUGAGGUUCUAACCUUGGCCCGUGAUCCGGGUCGGGGACAGUGCAUGGUAGGCAGUUUGACUGGGGCGGUCUCCUCCCAAAGCGUAACGGAGGAGUACGAAGGUACGCUAGGUACGGUCGGAAAUCGUGCUGAUAGUGCAAUGGCAUAAGCGUGCUUAACUGCGAGACCGACAAGUCGAGCAGGUGCGAAAGCAGGUCAUAGUGAUCCGGUGGUUCUGUAUGGAAGGGCCAUCGCUCAACGGAUAAAAGGUACUCUGGGGAUAACAGGCUGAUACCGCCCAAGAGUUCAUAUCGACGGCGGUGUUUGGCACCUCGAUGUCGGCUCAUCUCAUCCUGGGGCUGUAGCCGGUCCCAAGGGUAUGGCUGUUCGCCAUUUAAAGAGGUACGUGAGCUGGGUUUAAAACGUCGUGAGACAGUUUGGUCCCUAUCUGCCGUGGGCGUUGGAUAUUUGAAGGGGGCUGCUCCUAGUACGAGAGGACCGGAGUGGACGAACCUCUGGUGUACCGGUUGUGACGCCAGUCGCAUCGCCGGGUAGCUAUGUUCGGAAGAGAUAACCGCUGAAAGCAUCUAAGCGGGAAACUCGCCUUAAGAUGAGAUAUCCCUGGGGACUUGAUCCCCUUGAAGGGUCGUUCGAGACCAGGACGUUGAUAGGUCAGGUGUGUAAGCGCAGUAAUGCGUUCAGCUAACUGAUACUAAUUGCCCGUAAGGCUUGAUCCUAUAACA